GACGAACGCUGGCGGCGUGCUUAACACAUGCAAGUCGAACGGAAAGGCCCUGCUUUUGUGGGGUGCUCGAGUGGCGAACGGGUGAGUAACACGUGAGUAACCUGCCCUUGACUUUGGGAUAACUUCAGGAAACUGGGGCUAAUACCGGAUAGGAGCUCCUGCUGCAUGGUGGGGGUUGGAAAGUUUCGGCGGUUGGGGAUGGACUCGCGGCUUAUCAGCUUGUUGGUGGGGUAGUGGCUUACCAAGGCUUUGACGGGUAGCCGGCCUGAGAGGGUGACCGGCCACAUUGGGACUGAAAUACGGCCCAGACUCCUACGGGAGGCAGCGGUGGGGAAUAUUGCACAAUGGGCGGAAGCCUGAUGCAGCAACGCCGCGUGCGGGAUGACGGCCUUCGGGUUGUAAACCGCUUUCGCCUGUGACGAAGCGUGAGUGACAGUAAUGGGUAAAGAAGCACCGGCUAACUACGUG
rnacentral:rRNA from 1 species